UUAGCCAGUUGGAUACAUUGUUUAUUUUACCUAUUUACAUGAAACAACGGGGAGCCCUAUUUUGCCCUUUGAGUCUUACAGAAACAGGAUUUUAGCUUUUGCCGUUGUAGAUGCAUCGCUGUGGGUAGGGCACAGAUGUCCUGGAAGUGAAAAUCACAAUCCCUUAAAAGACCAAUAGCCAAGUCUCUCCUGGAUUCCAAACUUUCCUCACCACGUUCUGGGUGGGGCGAGAUAAAAAAAAAAAUCUCACUGGGGAAAGGAUAAGGAGGACUUUUCUCUCCAAGCCUGAGAACUUAAACGGAGACCCCAGGGUCUCCAUCCUGCACCAGUGUCCGAAUGGUAAAGGAUGGCGUGUAGGGAACAAUCCCCUAAGGGGUGGGGAAGGGGCGUCUCCCAACCCGGCAGGUGCCGACCUCUCGCCGAGACGCCCAGCGCCCCCGAAGCUGGCCUGCUCUGUGCGCAAAAGGCAACGCCAGCUUCUCGGAAGCCUCUGGCGCUGAGCAGUUGUCAUCAACGAUGUUGUUUCUAAUCCGCAACUCAGAACUGUACUUGGUUCCGGUAUUUUUUAGAGGAUUUUUAAUUCUGUAAACUCAGCCACGCGCCCCGCUGGCCCGGGUUUCGCCGCAUUCCAGACCCGCGGGCGUGCGGUGCGCGCGCGUCGGGCACUUGGCUCCGGGUAGGACGGGCGCCCGGGUCGCAGCUGGCAACGGUCCGCCUAAGUCAGUUUGGGGCAGGUCCUUCAAUUUGCAUUUUCCUGAGAGCCAAGGGCAGUGUUCUUCGCCUCCCCUGUUUCUCUGAGGCUAAUGCUCAAGAUGGGGCGGGUGCAGGAAGCCGCGAAUCCCGCCCUUAAGCGAUGCCUAGAAUAUCUGCCUGAACCUCCAUUUAACGUCCCCCUCCCUCAGACUCCACAGCGGGCCCCUCACCAAGUUACUGAGGGCUGUUACCUUGAACCCUGUCAGCCUUGCGCCCUGGGCACCGCGGAGGGGACGGGUGUGGAUGAGCAGAAGGGUGCAGCUGAUAGGAGAAAUCCGGCUCCGGGAGCGAACCCAGCGGCGGAAAGGCGGGCUCCGCGCCCAGGCGGGCCUUGGACUGCAAGAAGGCGAGGAUGCGCGCGUACUUCGUGUCCUUGGUCUCCAUCCGCUCCACCGUGGUGAGGGUGAAGAUCAGGAGUUCCCUGAUCCUGGCCUAGUUUCCACGCAACAUAAGAGCAGAGUAGGGAAGAGCCGAGGUUCGCCGGAGCCAGCCAGCCUGUUCAGAUCCCAGCCCUACCGCCCACCAGCUGGGUGAGACUCGAGGCAUCGUCCUGAAUCUACUGUCCCUCAGUUUCCUCAUCUGUAAAAUGGAAAUAAUGUUUCUACUAUGUUACCGGGUGGUCACUCCAGUGAAAUAAGUAAAUACAGACGAGGCACCUAAAAGAAGACUGGAUCGUGCAGUUAGUGGUUUUACUUUGCCUGCAAAUCUCUCCUACGGUGGCUCUUCUGUGUUUUACAGGGUAGUGUGGAGUUUGCACUGUUAGAUGAUUUUUCCACUCAUUUCAUUUUUUGCCCUCAUCCCAGAGAAAGCUCUAGCCUCCCUGAAAAAGCCACAGUAAUUCCUCCUGAAGUUUGUUUAAUUGACCAAAAUCAGGCAAAUGAAUGGGGGCCUUCAGGCACCCAGGUGACAUCACAUAGUGCUACUGGCCAGCUGUGUAGUCCCAGUGUGUGUGUGAGGCUGAAAGGGACUCUAAGCACAGGACCCCUCAGCAUCAUAGCCGUUCUCAAGGGACGCAAAUAUUAGCAUCAAAAUCAAAAGAAAGCUAGGAAGCAAGACUGCCUGGAAAUUAGACAGUGCUUAUUAAAUAUUGCUCUGCGUUCAGCCUCCUGGCAGCUAAAGACCUCUACUGGAGAACACAGCAAUCACAAGCCGACCAUGUUUAUUAUCGUUAUUUUUAAUACUAUUUCUUUGGCUCCAUAAGUUUGACAAGCAGAUUGCAAACACAGAAGGAUGGCUUAUUAUGUGUUUGCUUCCAGUUUUUAGAAAUUGAGGAUUUGUGGGCUUGGGGGCAGGGGAUGGAUGGAAAGAAAAGAAUACAGUAACUUUAGACAAAUUGCACUAAGACAAAGAAUUCCAGGUAAUUUCAAAUCCCUCCCUCCACCCCUGCCUCCAAUACACAAGUUGACUUUCUAGACACAUUAACAGGACUGGAGAUUUCAUCAAAUGUGAGGAGCCCUGGCUGAGAGCGGGAGAACACCAGCAUGGCUGGCCCUACUGACUUCUGAGGUGCUGGGAAGAUGAGGCCUGGAGGGAGCCCAACUCCUGGGCUCUGUUAUGAAGUGAGCAGGAUCUCAGGCUGCUCCUUCUGGAAAGGCCCAUGAGAGCAUGGCUCCAGCACCCCACUUCACGCUCGAGGGCCCUGAGGAACCACGAGGAGACUGGGAUGCCCAAUGGCAGGCGUGAGCGGCUGCCGGAAGUCUCCCAUUUAGCAUUUGUUGAUUUGCUGUGUGAACUCCUCCAGGGCUGAGGAGGAGGGCUGGCUUCCUCCUGUCACUAUCAAGGAGGAUCUGGUCAGACUCCUGUGAUUAGGGCUGGCAGCCCUUCUGUGGGACACCUGCUGCCCGUGGCUUGUAUGAUCAUUGUCAGGAGGCAUUGGCCGUGUCUAUGCCCCCUUUACGCCUUUUUCUACCUCUCAUGAGUCCAGUGGUAAUGGCACAUGCUGAGCACCCACAAUGAGCCCAAGCUGGCAAUUCCAAGUAGAAAGGGACUUGGUCCUGCCUAUUACAAAUGUGCGCUUGAAGAAAGAAGAAAGUAUUCAUACUGAUGGUCCCAGUACAGCAGUCUCCACACAGCAGUCACUCCCAAUGUCCGUCGCAGCAGCCAUGGGUGGCAUUGGCUAUCCUGUUGGGCUGGCAGCUUCUCUGGAGUUUCCUUGCUCAGCACGCUAAUUCCUCUGCUCUCUCUGGUCACCGGUAGUAUUCUCAACCCAAUAGUGACGCCACCAGGAAGAAUCUGCCAGGAGAUGCUUGUUGGUGCAGUCAGGCGGCAGUGAGAGGGGUCCUGGGGAGCACUUCAAUCUCUCUAACCACAAGGACACACAUUGAAGAUGUCUGCUGCUAUCUGAACCCCAGACCUGAAAGGAACCCAGAGACAUGAGAAACUUGUAUCCAAUGCGAGGUGAUUUCCCAGGGCUUUCGUUUUUAGCCCCUUCGUUCUUGUCUCUGAAGCAGCUUAGUUCUCUGCUUUCCAGCGCUCUUUUUAGGUUUAGUAACAGGCAGUGGACGUAGCAGCAGGGAAGCCACAGUCAGCACCACAACCUGUCAAAUGAUUCAUGCGCUUUCACCUUCUCUACCCUUUGGAAGAAGUGUUGGAAACGAUACACACACACCACUAGAAUCUCCUGCCUCCAGAAGUUGGGUUUGUUUUAAGUAAAAACUAAGUGCUCUAAUUCUUUGCUACUGGAAACGUGGUCCUCAGAACAGCAGAAUCUCACCACCCAGGAGCUCGUUAGGAAUGCAGAAUCAUAGGCCUCUCCCCUGACCUCGCUGAAUCAGAACGUGCAUUUGAAUGACACUCCCAGUUGGUGUGUGCACCGCAGAGUUUGAGAAGCACUGCCGUAGCUGAAGCUGGAAGGCACCAUGGCUACCUGAUGAGCAAAUCCCAGGUGGGAAUGGCCGCCCCAGAAGGACAGUGGGGAGCAAAGGUGCAGGUGGCUUCAAGAAGGAGGAGAUGGUCAG
rnacentral:lncRNA from 1 species